AAGUCGUAACAAGGUUUCCGUAGGUGAACCUGCGGAAGGAUCAUUAUUGAAUAAAUCUGGCGUUGGUUGUAGCUGGCUCUCCGGAGCAUGUGCUCGCCCGUCACCUUUAUCUUUCCACCUGUGCACACACUGUAGUCCUGGAUACCUCUCGCCGCAAGGCGGAUGCAGGGAUUGCCGCGUCCUCCUCGCGAGGUCGGCUCUCUCUGAAUUUCCAGGGCUAUGAAAUUUACACACCCCAAACGUAUGUCAUAGAAUGUCAUCACUAGGCUUCGUGCCUAUAAACCUAUACAACUUUCAGCAACGGAUCUCUUGGCUCUC
rnacentral:misc_RNA from 1 species